rnacentral:lncRNA from 1 species
UCCAAUCAAUUAUGAAAGCAAAUCAUCCUACCCAAAGGGGAGGAAAGUCUCUUUGAAAGCAUUUCUCCUAGCCUGCUCAGAGAAGAUGCUCAUUUUCAGAAUUUUUAAGAAACAGGAAAAAAUAUAGACAAGAUUAUACAGAGAGGGGAAGAAUGAGAAGAGAAGAGAAGGAUAAUAAGAAUUCUGAGGAACAUCAACAUUUAAAACGGAAAUGAAGAAAAGCCUGCGAAGAAGACUGCAAAGGUAGGCCAAGACCUAAAGGUGGUUCUGGAAUUAUUUGAUAUUGGGUGGCAGAUGAGGAAACUGGAGCAAGGAGAGGAUUUUGCUCCAAAGUCUAAUGGCUAACUGAGCUGAGGUUUGAAUCCAGGCAAUAGUCACCAGAGCUGCACUCACAAACUCAAAACUGUAGUGUGAGGAAGGUGGAUCACAUGCUUUGGAAGUAUUUCAGGCUGGGAAGUCUUCCAGUUUCUGGAAGAAAGAUAUGAUAAAGCCCAUAACAGAGGAUAUGGGAGCCAGCCAAGGAAGUGAACCCAUACACAUGUUCCCAGCUUCUACAGAGGGCCAAAUUCUGAUAGGAAAUUCUUUACGUGUGUGUGUGUGUGUGUGUGUGUGUGUGUGUGUAAUUUUAAGUUCUGGGAUACAUGUGCAGUAUGUGCAGUUUUGUUACAUAGGUAUACAUGUGCCAUGGUGGUUUGCUGCACCACUGAUAGGAAAUUAGGUAGCCACACACACAAGUAUAGACAUGGCUACUGAGUAAGACUUAUGAAAAUCUAGCUCUUAGCACAACUGUAAGCACAGAAUGAAUUUAGCAAACUUUUCCACAUCUCUGCAGACAAAGCCCUGGUUUUUAGUACAGACAUCCUGAAAGGUUACUUAUCCUGAUGUCAGGUGUAGCCUUGAGAAGUCCAGUGAUUCAAUGUUCAGGAAGAAAAUGUGUGAAAUGUAUCUCAACAAAUUGAGCCUGCUGUUUAGGAGGCUUUGCAUCCAUUUUUAAGGAAAAUUAUUCAUAACUACUCAAACCCAAGCAUGCAAGUCUGUAGCUAAAGAAUUCCAAGGGCAAAGGGUUUUCCAGGUGAAGCCAAAUGUAACCUUUAGAUAAUUGAGAGUAGCAAUAUCACAGAAAAAGAACUUCAAGCUUUGUUGCUAUUGUUUAGUGUCAGCAUGAGAGUUUUCAUCCUGAAUUGCUCUUAAAUCCUGAUUCAUUUGAAAAUUAAUCCAAAUGUCUUCCCACCAACUCUUCUCCCUUCUGGUAAAUUUUAUUAAGCAAUAAAUUCACAUCAAACAUUAUUUAUUGGGAAACAUCAGAUGAAACCAUUCAAAUUUUACUAUACAGUAGAUAUACCAAAGAAGUCAGCAUUCCCCCUUCAUAUUUUUUCAUGAGGAGGGCCACUGAGAUCUUUUCUCCUCAAGACAUGACUCCUCAGGAAGGGGUCUUGGCACCAAUAUGCAGGAGGAUGCUUGCAGAGCUGGGACUUUGGCAUUUUAAAAGCCACGUGGCUCUAGGCAUGCUCCAAGUGUUCCUAGCUCAAGUCUUAUAGUUAAGUCCAGAUUUCACAGCCGAAGGCACUGAGCUGCAAGCUUCCUCGCCAAAGGCCCAAAGCAGUAAGCAGAAGGUGCUUCCUGGCCCUGACUCAACUGGUGCAGAAGGACACCCUAUUGAUGGUGAUGCAGGAGCAGCUCUGAGCCUUCUCUGAGUGAUCCGGAAAGCAUUAUCCUACCCAAAGGGGAGGAAAGUCUCUUUGAAAGCAUUUCUGCUCAGAGAUGAAGACAAAAACCAUAAUGGGAAGGACCAAUAUCCCAAACAUCACUGACAUUACCUGGGUGUUCUGCUUGCAAAAACAUUUUGCUAAUAAAAAGAAAACGUGAUCCCAUCACUAACUGUCCCUAAAGCAAGUCAUCUGCCUUUUCAUGGUCUCAAGGGGCUCAUCUGUAAAAUGAAGAGUUGAACUAAAUGAUGGUUGAGGUUCCAUACUGUCUAGUAAUAAAAACUGUCAAAAGUGGUCACAUACUGUCAAUUUCAUAUGGCUUGAUGCACACACAUGCACACUCACUGUGUGUACACCCUCACAAACAUUUAUUCAUUCGAUAAGUAUUGCCUACUAUAAGCCAAGCAUUCUUCUAGGCACUGAAGAUAUAGCAGCAAACAAAGCAGAGCCCUGCUCACUUGGAGCUUACGUUCUAGGAUUGGUAAAAGCAAAAAUAUAGCAAAUUAACUAGUAUAUCCAAGGGGGUGGAAUGAGAAAGGGAGAGAGUAAGAGAGAGAGACACCAAGUGGGGAGAGUAGAAGGAGAUAGAAAGAUCACCAGGGCCUGGCAAAGCCUUGCUUUUCCUCUGAGUGAGAUGGGAAGGCAUUGGAGGGUUCUGAGCAACGUAAUAGGACACACAUGCUUACAAGAUGAUUCUCACUGCUCUGUGGCAGACAGACUUGUAGGGACAAGAGUAGAAACAGGGAGACCAGUCGGGAGACCGUUGCAAUCAUCCAGAUGAGGGAUGACGGUGGCUUGGACCUGGUGGCAACGGUGGAGCUGAAAGUCUUGGCUGUUCUGUAUUCUGAAGGCAAAGUCAAUAGGAUUUGCUACUGGACAGCAUGUGGAGUGUGAGUGAAAGAUGACGCCAAGAUUUUUCACUGGAAUAAGUGGAAUAAUGAA